CCGUGCUAAGCGGGGUGUUAGCGGUACCCUAUACUCGCAAUCCGCUAUAGCGAGGCUGAAUUCUUUUCCGA
rnacentral:SRP_RNA from 1 species